rnacentral:rRNA from 1 species
CCUACGGGAGGCAGCAGUGGGGAAUAUUGCACAAUGGGGGAAACCCUGAUGCAGCGACGCCGCGUGAAGGAAGAAGUAUUUCGGUAUGUAAACUUCUAUCAGCAGGGAAGAAAAUGACGGUACCUGACUAAGAAGCCCCGGCUAACUACGUGCCAGAAGCCGCGGGAAUACGGGGGGGGCAAGCGUUAUCCGGAUUUACUGGGUGUAAAGGGAGCGGAGGAGGUGAUGCAAGUCAGAAGUGAAAGCCCGCAGCUCAACUGCGGGACUGCUUUUGAAACUGGAUGACGAGAUAGCAGGAGAGGUAAGUGGAAUUCCUGGUGUAGCGGUGAAAUGCGUAGAUAUUAGGCGGAACACCAGUGGCGAAGGCGGCUUACUGGACUGUAAAUGACGCUGAGGCUCGAAAGCGUGGGGAGCAAACAGGAUUAGAUACCCUUGUAGUC